rnacentral:rRNA from 1 species
GACGUAGGGCGCGAGCGUUGUCCGGAUUUAUUGGGCGUAAAGAGCUCGUAGGCGGCCUGUCGCGUCGGUUGUGAAAGCCCGGGGCUUAACCCCGGGUCUGCAGUCGAUACGGGCAGGCUAGAGUUCGGUAGGGGAGAUCGGAGUUCCUGGUGUAGCGGUGAAAUGCGCAGAUAUCAGGAGGAACACCGGUGGCGAAGGCGGAUCUCUGGGCCGAUACUGACGCUGAGGAGCGAAAGCGUGGGGAGCGAACAGG